rnacentral:rRNA from 1 species
GAGGGGGGGUGCUAUACAUGCAAGUCGAGCGGACAGAUGGGAGCUUGCUCCCUGAUGUUAGCGGCGGACGGGUGAGUAACACGUGGGUAACCUGCCUGUAAGACUGGGAUAACUCCGGGAAACCGGGGCUAAUACCGGAUGCUUGUUUGAACCGCAUGGUUCAAACAUAAAAGGUGGCUUCGGCUACCACUUACAGAUGGACCCGCGGCGCAUUAGCUAGUUGGUGAGGUAAUGGCUCACCAAGGCAACGAUGCGUAGCCGACCUGAGAGGGUGAUCGGCCACACUGGGACUGAGACACGGCCCAGACUCCUACGGGAGGCAGCAGUAGGGAAUCUUCCGCAAUGGACGAAAGUCUGACGGAGCAACGCCGCGUGAGUGAUGAAGGUUUUCGGAUCGUAAAGCUCUGUUGUUAGGGAAGAACAAGUACCGUUCGAAUAGGGCGGUACCUUGACGGUACCUAACCAGAAAGCCACGGCUAACUACGUGCCAGCAGCCGCGGUAAUACGUAGGUGGCAAGCGUUGUCCGGAAUUAUUGGGCGUAAAGGGCUCGCAGGCGGUUCCUUAAGUCUGAUGUGAAAGCCCCCGGCUCAACCGGGGAGGGUCAUUGGAAACUGGGGAACUUGAGUGCAGAAGAGGAGAGUGGAAUUCCACGUGUAGCGGUGAAAUGCGUAGAGAUGUGGAGGAACACCAGUGGCGAAGGCGACUCUCUGGUCUGUAACUGACGCUGAGGAGCGAAAGCGUGGGGAGCGAACAGGAUUAGAUACCCUGGUAGUCCACGCCGUAAACGAUGAGUGCUAAGUGUUAGGGGGUUUCCGCCCCUUAGUGCUGCAGCUAACGCAUUAAGCACUCCGCCUGGGGAGUACGGUCGCGAGACUGAAACUCAAAGGAAUUGACGGGGGCCCGCACAAGCGGUGGAGCAUGUGGUUUAGUUCAAAGCAACGCGAAGAACCUUACCAGGUCUUGACAUCCGCUGACAAUCGUAGAGAUAGGACGUCGCGGUUCGGGGCAGAGUGACAGGUGGUGCAUGGGUGUCGUCGGCUCUGUCAUGAGAGCUGGUAAGUCGCGCACACGCAACCCUUGAUGUAGUGCACAUUCAUUCGCACUCUAGGUGACUCCCGUGACGACCGCAGGAAGUAG